rnacentral:lncRNA from 1 species
GCAGACAUUAUUGAAAUGUUACCCAACAAUGAUUGUAGAUGUAUUUACUUUUCAAACUUGUCUCUGUAUGUACUUAGUGUUUCACAUUUAUACUAAUUACAAUUAAUUAUUACUUAACUACUUGAGAUUACUAACUAACCUAAUAACAUAACUAACUUUAUUGGUUGUUAUUUCAACCGGCGGGGAUUCUCCAACGAGGUUGACUCGGAGACCUUGAUACACAUCUGGUUUUAGCGCUUUUGUCAUAAUGUCUGCUCGCUGUAGUUUCCCUGGGAUGUGUUUAACUUCUAUGUCGCCUGCGUCCGUCUUUUCAAGUACGAAAUGCAAAUUCAUUGCUACAUGCCUGAGCUUUGUGUUAAACCUAUGAGAGGGAGGCGUGCCGGCGAUAUUGGAGACCAGAGUGGCCGGAGGUACGCGAGCACUGGGAGCGAGAAUUUGGGGGAACUUCUAGGGUUCCUCAAACUAACGGAACCUAGAAGUUAGUUGGGGGAGAGAGAGGAGAUUACGCUAAUCACUGUUUGCAUUCAAUUAAUUCAUAUUAAUGUUUACAAGGGUUUUAUUUAUAAUACAUAGACUCAUUAACUCUAACAGAAUUUGUAUAACUAAUAUUAUCAUA